CCGACCUCUUCUCUUCUGUCCGCCUGCAGGGCUUGCGCCCGCACGCGCUUGACCGCCGGCGGGUGAAGGAGUUGGCGCCGGAUCCGGCGGCUUGUCGCCGCGCUUAUGGAUCCAGACCGCAUCCAUCGCGACUGGAUGGUGCCUGCGGGCCCAUCUCGAUUCCCGCCGCUGUCACCGACCCAGGCCUCCGGCCUCGACCUCAAUUCUUUCUGUUCCUCCCCAUCAAGCAGGUCGUCGCGCUUCACUAACGUUGACCUCGAGCGGCAGAGCCGUCCCCGACCUCAAUCUCCAGUGGCAGCGUCCAGCAUAUCCAACCAUAUUGUCCACCGGCGGCGCCACCAGAUUCUCCCGCGACCUCAACCUCGUGUGGCAUCGUCUAUCAUAUUCAUAUCUAGCCAUAUCGUCCGCCGGCGGUGCCACCAGAUUCAGCGUCCACAUGUGCGGUGCGAUUGUCGUCCUAGAUGGCUUCCGCACAUCCAUGCCUUGCCUACAGCCUACAGGUACAACCAGCCUUUCCCCAUUCGCAAUAUGCCUAGGCUAGAGAUGGAGGCCUUUCCCCAUGCGAGAAUCACCCAAGACAUGGCUAUGGUUAUGGUAGAUACACUGGAUUUAAUAUGUAAGUUCCAUAGUAUACAUAUUUUUUCUACUUGUCCUAGGUAUUCCAAAUAGGGAUAAAUUCAGAAUUCUCUUAUUUAUUUUAUGUAUGGUUUAAUUGCUUUUCGAAGUGCACAUUGUAUGUUGGUGAUACGUUUUUAAUUGAAUUCUUUCUCUUUUAGACUUUUACUGGAUUGAGCAGAACAAAAAAGAAUAAACAUUUUUGUUUAGUUUAUAAUAGAGAAAGGAACUUGGUAGGCGAUUCCGUUUUGUCAUAGGAAUUGAUGCUAAGUAUCUUGUGCAUUUAACUUUGAGGGGAAACCUCACCCAUACAAAUUCAAAAAUCAAUUAUCUAACCAGGUUUACUAAACAUCUAUGCAUUUCUCUUAUUUAUUUUGCAUAUUCAUUAAUAUUUUGUGAUUUGGUUGUGAUAACCAAUGUGAGGAAGGAGAAGAUCGCCUCCAGCACACUGAGACCUCAAGGCAACUCAAGAGCAGAUCACCAAUGGAAGCUACACCAUCCUGCUCCAGCCGGAUCUGGAGGCCGGCGCACCAUGAUUCACCAAGGACACCGUCGCGAGGUUCGUGCAGCACACUGGAGGUUCGGGAGCGCGUGAUGACCAUCAUGUCCAGGAUACUGCAGCUCGAGGAUACCAUAGCUGUCCAGAGCAAUGAUAUCUUGGAUGAAAUCUAUAAGUGGAGGAUACAUUGUAACCUGUCAAAUAAUGUGUACCUGUUGAGAGAGUAACAAUAGCAGAAUGUUGACAUGUCUGUGUUUGGGAUUGUAGGUAGAAGGCCACGAUAGGAAACCGGUUAACUCCAUGGAAGUACAUCCUCUCCUCCUCUGAUGUUGAUGUGAAAUCUCCUUCUACAAGGUAACUAGACAAUCCAUUCCUACAAAUUUGCAAGCUUUGUUUCUCUUAAGUCUUCCACUCAACCCCAGACAAUAUUUCAUUGAAUCUGUGAAUUUUCUCCUGAACUGAUAGAUGCAGUUGCAGGUCAAAACAUUGUGAUAUAUGAGGUAAUGAAAAUAUUUAUGGAGGAAAUUUACUUUUACACAUCGUAUAGGUUAUCUUUAUCUAAAUCAUGUGAUCCUUUUUCAGUUAUGAGUUGCAGUAGUACUACAUGAAGAUUAUAAAUUAGGUACGAUUGUUUUUGCUCUCUAAUUCAUGAGUACCUGCGUACAAACUCAGUAUCUAUUUUCACCAUGUCAUGGCACGGCAACCGUGGAGCGGAUAUGAUUGAACCUUAUAAGCUGGCCUCAAGAACAUAAACACCGGUUCCAUUUUAUUUCCCUGGACCUCAUAAAUACUCAUUUUGCUUAUAACAGUUCCGAGGUAUGACAAAAAGAUUAAGCAAAAAGCAAUGUUUGCUACAGAUUCGUGUAACUGUCUUUCUUUAAAACGUCUAGCCCUUUGUAUAUAUUUCCUAGAGAUAAAAAAAACCUAAUCGCUCUAGCUGGGCUUAAAUUUAGGACAUUUCUUUUUGGUUGUUGAAUAAGGUUUCACAACAGUGGUAGAGAUAGUUCGAACUUGCAAUAGCUCUGUGUCAGAUGAAAAACAACAACACAAGAAGCGAGCAUGUCAAUCAUGGGUAUUGUUAUUGUUCAAAUUUUCCAAUAGUGUUGCAGAAAACAUGGUUGUUGCUGAUUGAACGGAUGUUAUGUUUUCAAAGAGAAUUCAAGUUCGUCUUUUAUGUAUUUAUAUGUGCUGGUGCAAUAAAAUUUGAUUGAAUCUUCUUUGAAAUUUAUUUCAGUACUAAUGCAUAACUAAGUAAUGAUAUCUAGCUUGAGCAGCUCAACUACGACGCACUGGAUACACGCUAGGUAUACUGACAUCUUACGCAUAUCUUCUCUUUUAUUUCAGUUAUCACUUUUGGUGUAGAACUCUUUGUCUUCCAUUUUAUACAUGAUGUUACUUUGCUAUAUCAGUUAUGUUGUCCUGACCGGAUAGUUAUCUUUUCUGCAAGCGACACAAGUGGUUGCUGAUUGGUUGACAUUUCAAGUUGGACCUUAGUUAUUUUGUACAAGUGUAGUGACACCAUUUUCCAUGUUGGUUUGUUUUGGAAGCAUUUUCAUGUAUAAAAUGGAAUUGCUGGUCUGCCACUUUAUUACAUAUAGCUUUCAGUCUGAUUGAUCUUUAACAAAACACCAAACAAAAAAGAAAAGUAUGAUUACCGCAUAUCCCUGCUACUGCUCGUAUUGUAGUAUUUAGUAUAUAUCAUUAUUUGAUAUUGCAACUAAUUUAAUUCUUGUUAGGAUGCAUGUCCUAUGAAUGUGAUGCCCUCCACAAGAAAAAGCCAGCUGCAUUAGGCAGACAUAAAUCUUCUUUGUUUCGGAAAUGGUGGCCUUUUGGUAGAGGCACGUGAAGAUCCCAUUUACGCAUGAUGUAUACAAUCUACUCCCUCCGUUCCUAAAUAUAAGUUUUUUAAGAAAUUUCAAUAUAAACUACAUACAAAUGUAUAUAGACAUAGU